AUUGAACGCUGGCGGCAUGCUUUACACAUGCAAGUCGAACGGUAACAGGUCUUCGGAUGCUGACGAGUGGCGAACGGGUGAGUAAUGCAUCGGAACGUGCCCAGUCGUGGGGGAUAACGCAGCGAAAGCUGUGCUAAUACCGCAUACGAUCUAUGGAUGAAAGCGGGGGAUCGCAAGACCUCGCGCGAUUGGAGCGGCCGAUGUCAGAUUAGCUAGUUGGUGGGGUAAAGGCCCACCAAGGCGACGAUCUGUAGCUGGUCUGAGAGGACGACCAGCCACACUGGGACUGAGACACGGCCCAGACUCCUACGGGAGGCAGCAGUGGGGAAUUUUGGACAAUGGGCGCAAGCCUGAUCCAGCAAUGCCGCGUGCAGGAAGAAGGCCUUCGGUUGUAAACUGACUUUGUACGGUAACGAAAAGGUACUGGGUUAAUAACCCUGGCGUCAUGACGGUACCGUAAGAAUAAGAC
rnacentral:rRNA from 1 species